GCCGGGGCGUCCCCCGCGGGAGCCCGCAGCCACCCGGGACGCGCAUCCAGACGUGGCGCUUCGGACCGGGCACGCUGCGCCCGGGGGCUCGGCGGACCCCGCGUAGCCGCCGCUUCGGAGCUUGUGCGGCGCGGGCUGGCCAGCGGGGCGGCCAGGGCCCGGCCCGCCUCCCCAGCGCCCGCCCGGCUUCUCCCCCUGGCGGUGGGAGCCUCGGCGGCCGCUGGCGACACUAGGCGCACUGAAGCCCGAGCCGAGCCGAGCCCGAGCCGCCGCCGCCGCCGCCGCUGCUGCGCACCGCUCCCGGGCUCCCUCCCAGCGCGCCGGCCGGGGUGUGGGGGGCGGCGGGCCGGAGGGGCGAGGGCGGGCCAGGGGGCGCACACGGGGGUUGGCGCGGAAGACAGGACCCUCAGCCUCGAGGGAGCCCCUAGGUGACCAGGCAAAAUGGCAGUUCCUUCCAGCUGGUCCUCAGAUGGGCACAUCUAUUAGCCUCUGCUCUUGUAAGAAGUUAGCUGCAGAACCCACAUGUGAAUCCUUGUAGGACUCUGGAGAAGAUCAAAUGGGAGCUUAGAUGUGGAAGCUCUUUGGAAACCAAGAAACACUCUGAAAAUGAAAAGGGUGGAAGAGUAAACUGUUCCUGUUUCUCCAUCUUGACAGGAAGCAGAAGUUCUCCUUAGCUGAUUUUUCUUCUUGCCUUAUACUGGGUUCUUUAACACCAGAACAAAAAUAAAUAAAUAAAAGAAUCUUCCAGAAAUUCAUGAAGAGACUUCAGGUCAGGAAAGCCUGAACUUUCUCAUCCAACACCCGUUCAAGUCGGAGGAUGCUGAUUAAUUCAUGAUGGAAAGGUAUCAAUUUCACAGCCCAGACCUCUACAUUCUUGAAAUGCUCUUCUCAUGGGAGACAUUAAAUAAGCUUUGAAUUAACUAAAAAUAUCCAACCCGAGCAGGAUAAAACUGAUCAUCCUGAGGAUAUUGCCCUUGGAGUUAAUUUUUUGAGAGAAAUAAAACAAUAAACAUCAUAAGACACAAACCCCAAGCAACUGAUCUCACUGUUAAAAUCCAACCUGAGAACAAUGGAAUGGGUAAGUAGAAUAUUUAUUUAUUAAAAGGGCAACAUCUCAGAAAUGAAAUUACAAUUUAGUUGGGAUAAAUUGUCUUAUAACUUCAUUUUUUUACAUUAAAGCUAUAAUUGAGGGGUAUUAUAUGCUGUUUAUCACUGCAAUGAAAAUGUAGUCAGAAUGAACUUCUCGAGGCUGUUAAACUGCCUCUUAUUAGCAUUGAAACUAUACUCACAGCCUAUUAUCUUAGGCUAUAUUUUUUGGUAUAAGGGAAUUGCUAUCAAAGUGUACU
rnacentral:lncRNA from 1 species